rnacentral:tRNA from 1 species
GCAUUGGUGGCUCCGUGGUAGAAUUCUUGCUUUCCAAGUGGGAGAUCAGGGUUCGAUUCCUGGCCAAUGCA